AUGAACGCUGGCGGCGUGUCUAAGGCAUGCAAGUCGAACGCCUGUAGCAAUACAGGAGUGGCAAACGGGUGCGUAACACAUUGGUAACCUACCUUGAGGUCGUGAACAACCUUCGGAAACGAAGGCUAAUACACGAUGGCCAGGAGAGAUCGCGAGAUCUUUCCUGUAAAGCUUCGGCGCCUCAAGAGGGGCCUAUGCCCUAUCAGCUAGUUGGUGAGGUAAUGGCUCACCAAGGCUUUGACGGGUAGGGGGCGUAAGAGCGCGACCCCCCUCACUGGGACUGAGACACUGCCCAGACACCUACGGGUGGCUGCAGUCGAGAAUAUUCCUCAAUGCACGAAAGUGUGAAGGAGCGACGCCGCGUGCCAGAUGAAGCCCUUCGGGGUGUAAAUGGCUUUUUUCAGGGAAGAAAUCUGACGGUACCUGAAGAAUAAGUGGUUGCUAACUCUGU
rnacentral:rRNA from 1 species